rnacentral:rRNA from 1 species
GGGGUGCUACACAUGCAGUCGAACGGAGAAAGUGGAGCAAUCCAUGAGUAAAGUGGCGACCGGGUGAGUACACGUGACUAACCUACCUUCAAGUGGGGGAUAACCUCGGGAAACCGGGGCUAAUACCGCAUAAAAUCUCUGGGAUGGAAAUCCUGUUGAUCAAAGGAGCAAUUCGCUGGAAGAGGGGGUCGCGGUGAUUAGCUAGUUGGCGGGGUAAUGGCCCACCAAGGCUUUGAUCGGUACCGGCUGAAGGGCGCACGGCACACUGGAACUGAAACACGGUCCAGACUCCUACGGGAGGCAGCAGUGGGGAAUUUUGCGCAAUGGGGGAAACCCUGACGCAGCAACGCCGCGUGGAGGAUGAAGUCCCUUGGGACGUAAACUCCUUUCGACUGGGAAGA